rnacentral:rRNA from 1 species
AAAAACCACAAACAUAUUACAAGGACCUCAUGAAUAUUGGAUUGGAAGCGUCCAUAAAUAUAAUGAGUGCGUAUUAGCACACAUGAAUAGUAAUAUGUUUUUACAGAUGUAUGGGAUAAAAUAACACCGUAGCAAACGUUCAA